GAGUUUGAUCCUGGCUCAGAUUGAACGCUGGCGGCAUGCCUUACACAUGCAAGUCGAACGGUAACAGGUCUUCGGAUGCUGACGAGUGGCGAACGGGUGAGUAAUACAUCGGAACGUGCCUAGUAGUGGGGGAUAACUACUCGAAAGAGUGGCUAAUACCGCAUGAGAUCUACGGAUGAAAGCAGGGGAUCGCAAGACCUUGUGCUACUAGAGCGGCCGAUGGCAGAUUAGGUAGUUGGUGGGAUAAAAGCUUACCAAGCCGACGAUCUGUAGCUGGUCUGAGAGGACGAUCAGCCACACUGGGACUGAGACACGGCCCAGACUCCUACGGGAGGCAGCAGUGGGGAAUUUUGGACAAUGGGCGCAAGCCUGAUCCAGCAAUGCCGCGUGCAGGAUGAAGGCCUUCGGGUUGUAAACUGCUUUUGUACGGAACGAAAAGCCCUGGGUUAAUACCCUGGGGUCAUGACGGUACCGUAAGAAUAAGCACCGGCUAACUACGUGCCAGCAGCCGCGGUAAUAC
rnacentral:rRNA from 1 species